rnacentral:rRNA from 1 species
AUUGAACGCUGGCGGCAGGCCUAACACAUGCAAGUCGAGCGGAUGAGUGGAGCUUGCUCCAUGAUUCAGCGGCGGACGGGUGAGUAAUGCCUAGGAAUCUGCCUGGUAGUGGGGGACAACGUUUCGAAAGGAACGCUAAUACCGCAUACGUCCUACGGGAGAAAGUGGGGGAUCUUCGGACCUCACGCUAUCAGAUGAGCCUAGGUCGGAUUAGCUAGUUGGUGAGGUAAAGGCUCACCAAGACGACGAUCCGUAACUGGUCUGAGAGGAUGAUCAGUCACACUGGAACUGAGACACGGUCCAGACUCCUACGGGAGGCAGCAGUGGGGAAUAUUGGACAAUGGGCGAAAGCCUGAUCCAGCCAUGCCGCGUGUGUGAAGAAGGUCUUCGGAUUGUAAAGCACUUUAAGUUGGGAGGAAGGGCAGUAAGUUAAUACCUUACUGUUUUGACGUUACCAACAGAAUAAGCACCGGCUAACUUCGUGCCAGCAGCCGCGGUAACAC